UCGGUAAACUUCCGUAUUUCAAGAACGAACACAUUCUGAGGGUACCGGUCCAGGUAUUUGACGGUAUUGACCAGGAAGCCCCGGCCUACUUCCGUGCCAGCAGCCGCGGUAAUACGUAGGUGCAAGCGGUGUCCGGAUUUAUUGGGCGUAAAGCGGAGCGCAGGCGGUUUUUUAAGUCUGAUGUGAAAGCCUUCCGCUUCACCCGAAGAAGUGCAUCGGAAACUGGAAACUUGAGUGCAGAAGAGGACAGUGGAACUCCAUGUGUAGCGGUGAAAUGCGUAGAUAUAUGGAAGAACACCAGUGGCGAAGGCGGCUGUCUGGUCUGUAACUGACGCUGAGGCUCGAAAGUAUGGGUAGCAAACAGGAUUAGAUACCCUGGUAGUCCAUACCGUAAACGAUGAAUGCUAAGUGUUGGAGGGUUUCCGCCCUUCAGUGCUGCAGCUAACGCAUUAAGCAUUCCGCCUGGGGAGUACGGCCGCAAGGCUGAAACUCAAAGGAAUUGACGGGGGCCCGCACAAGCGGUGGAGCAUGUGGUUUAAUUCGAAGCUACGCGAAGAACCUUACCAGGUCUUGACAUACUAUGCAAAUCUAAGAGAUUAGACGUUCCCUUCGGGGACAUGGAUACAGGUGGUGCAUGGUUGUCGUCAGCUCGUGUCGUGAGAUGUUGGGUUAAGUCCCGCAACGAGCGCAACCCUUAUUAUCAGUUGCCAGCAUUAAGUUGGGCACUCUGGUGAGACUGCCGGUGACAAACCGGAGGAAGGUGGGGAUGACGUCAAAUCAUCAUGCCCCUUAUGACCUGGGCUACACACGUGCUACAAUGGAUGGUACAACGAGUUGCGAACUCGCGAGAGUAAGCUAAUCUCUUAAAGCCAUUCUCAGUUCGGAUUGUAGGCUGCAACUCGCCUACAUGAAGUCGGAAUCGCUAGUAAUCGCGGAUCAGCAUGCCGCGGUGAAUACGUUCCCGGGCCUUGUACACACCGCCCGUCACACCAUGAGAGUUUGUAACACCCAAAGUCGGUAGGGUAACCUUUAGGAACCAGCCGCCUAAGUGAGAGAGAUUGGUAC
rnacentral:rRNA from 1 species